ACGCUCGACACCUACGGGAGGGCAGCAGUGGGGAAUAUUGGGCAAUGGGCGAAAGCCUGACCCAGCAACGCCGCGUGAGGGAAGAAGGUUUUCGGAUUGUAAACCUCUGUCCUCAGGGACGAAGGACGUGACGGUACCUGAGGAGGAAGCCCCGGCUAACUACGUGCCAGUAGCCGCCGGUAAUCUGAGCGGGCGUGGCAAGGC
rnacentral:rRNA from 1 species